rnacentral:tRNA from 2 species
GCGUUGGUGGUUCAGCGGUAGAAUUCUUGCUUUCCAUGUAGGAGACCCGGGUUCAAUUCCUGGCCAACGCA